UACGGAGGGAGCUAGCGUUGUUCGGAAUUACUGGGCGUAAAGCGCACGUAGGCGGCUUUGUAAGUUAGAGGUGAAAGCCUGGAGCUCAACUCCAGAAUUGCCUUUAAGACUGCAUCGCUUGAAUCCAGGAGAGGUGAGUGGAAUUCCGAGUGUAGAGGUGAAAUUCGUAGAUAUUCGGAAGAACACCAGUGGCGAAGGCGGCUCACUGGACUGGUAUUGACGCUGAGGUGCGAAAGCGUGGGGAGCAACAGG
rnacentral:rRNA from 1 species